CUUUUUUUCCCUCUUCUCUUUCAUCUGUUAGUCUUCUGCUACAGUUACCCAUCCAAGAGACCCCCCGAGCCACCAGUCACCUCAAGAUCAAGAUCAAGACCAAAACAAACCACCCGUCCGGACCCAGACCGAGACCCAGACUAGCCACAGUGGAGAGGUACAGCAAGGGGCGCAAUGAGGAAGGGGGUGGAGGUGGAUGGGGCGUGGCAGGGAGUGGUGGUGCCAGAGGGGGGAGGGUGGAGGUGACGCCCAGUGGAAGAAUGAAGAAACUUAUUGAUCAGAUGACGGAAAGGCUGGACGCGGCAGGGUGUGUGGUGUGCCUGGCAAGCGGCGUGGCCACAUCCAAGGCCAUCACGUGCGUCCAGAUUGUCAAAAGGAGACACACACACACACUUCAUCAACUCACAGCUUUGGCAUACAGGAGAGUAUACGAGUACUGGGAACCCAAGAUGCAGGGACUUGACACUCUGAAGGUAACGAGAGAGGUGCCGAGUGUCGUAAUCCUGCUCUCCAAGGCUCCGCUAGACCCCGCCUUGCCUGGGUACCAAGCCCCGGGCAGUCUCGGGGAAGACUUCAGGAGGAGGGAGGAGAGAAGAGGAGGAGGAAGAGGCAACAGGAGGGGAGGUAGAAGAGGAGGAGGUGGAGGAGGAGUAGGAGGAGAAGAUUUUGAAGAAGGUAGAGGAAGGGGAAGAGGAGGAGAAAGAGGAGGAGGGGGAAGAAGAGGAAGAAGUAGAGG